AGUUUUGUUGUUUCUGCUCGAAAGUGGUGCCAAAGCAGGAGAAAAAUCAGUAAACUUGUUGCGGGAGGAUGUUUUACCUCCCUGUUAUGCAAUAAUAAGUUAUGCACUCAUACACCCGGUGUUGUAAUAAAUACUCUCUCUAUAUUUUAUGAAUGUAAAUUAUGUUAUUGUAAUCCGUUUCUGCUUAUUCUUUACUCCGAUUAUGUGUGUAAUGUCUGCGUGAUGGGUGAAGUGCUCUUGGACGAUAUGAUAAAGAUACAGAUGACCGAACUUGUCGAGUAAUUAUGUGCAUCUACAUGGUUGUCUGAGGUCCUUAAGACAAGGGCAUCUAUAGGUGGGCCUAAUACCUUGGGAGGUUCCGUGACAGCUGAAGCUGAGCAUUGCUUUUAUAAGUUGGUCAAAAUUUUAUUAGCAGUUACUAAGUGUAAGUAAAACCAAACCAUAGUAAUAAUAAAUCAAAGUAAUAAAUUAUCCCAAUGCGAUGCAAAUGAUAAAUUAAAUUUAAUUCCAUAAAUUAAUCAUGUGAGGGUCCGAGCUGCUCAUGACCGUGAGCACGGCUGAUAUAGCAGUUUUACACUCUGUAGAUGUUGCACAUCUUUACCCACAAGUCAUGUUACCCAUCUACCAAGGGGUCAUGAAUCCCAUACGCCUCUACCAAGGAAGCGAGACAGGGUAACACUACGAGGCCUUUACAAAGUUCCAUUAGUUUCAGAAAACCCGCUACAGUUUCUAGGAAGCUCCAAUGCAGGGGCCCCUCGCCUGGCCGCCAUCGCAGCAAAAUCAACCCAAGGGCCUCCCUACACUGACCACUCCUCUACUGCCCUUGCCCCUUUCAGGUAAGGUAGUCCUCCACUAGCUUUCCUAAUUAGUCAGCCAAGGGCGUCCCAUACCACUCUUGUGGUAGCACUGCUUUCCCGGGUGGUCGAUCCAUAUUCCAAUUAACAUAAUGAUCUUAUCAUGAACAGUAAAUAACAAACUGAUAAUAAAAGUGAUCAUGAAUAAUGUGUAUCUCCAUACCCAAAACCACAUAAAGCAAUAGCAAGUACUACCCAAAAAGUUCAGUGGAAUCAAGGUAUAAAGAUAGUCAAACUAGGGUCACCUAAAGGGUCCCAUCAACAUUAACCUAUGCACAUCAUUAUGAUUAAUAAGAACAUGAAUGGGUAAAAAGAAGUGAUCAAGGGCACAACUUGCCUUCAAAGAGCUCCUACUCAGCAGUCUCCACCUACUGAACCCCUGGAUCCUCUAUAACUUGCUCGUCUACUCGCAACAAUACAACAAACAUGGUAUAGCAAAAUUAACAUCACACCAAACAACAGAUCAAAAUGUACGAUAAUAUUCUACGCUGCGUAACAAGAUCGUAGGAACAAGAAUUACUAAAUUUGGAAUUACGGUUAUUUAGUUAUGAAUUUCUAAAGUUAUUUAGCACUUAGAAUAGAUUAAUUCAAGUGAACAGUUUUAUUCCAAGUUACAUGGCUAAACAAUGUUACUAGUUGAUAUAAAAUAUUAAUACAAAAUUAUUGCAACUGGAAUGGGUCAAUUUAGAGCUAAAAUGAAUUAAAUAUGAAUUAUACAAGUUUCUAGAAUUAUUUUUGUAUUAAAAAUCAAUUUCUAUAAUUAAUUUUCUAUUUUCAUUGCUCUCUGGACCGCGCGUCAAAUACUAAAAAGUGCAGGGGCUAACUCGCAAAAGUUCCUAAGACUCAGGUUAACACAUGGAAGGACUGCGGGUUGAUUUUAUAAAAACAGAGGGUCUCUUAAGUAAGUUUGGCACUGCGAAGGGGUACCGACUGUUCUAAGUCGUCCGAUUGCGCGCCAGAGGUCAGGACUAGAUCACCGAGGCAUCACGACCGGUAUACACCCGCAGCCAUCGGAUCGAAUCACGACGACCAUGAUUUUAUUUAGCCCGAACGGUGCACAUGCCUGAUCCGAGCCGUCUAUUUACACUUCGAUGAUCAAGAUUCUAAUGAAUCCAAGGGAUAUGCCUUAACCUAAUCACCACCGUUGAUUCAUAACCAACGACCCUAGAUCAAACUCGAGGCGAAUGAUCAACCUCGGAUCAGGACCGUUCGCUGGAGUAUCAACGAUACUCCAACCGUCCCUGACCUCCCACAUGGAGCAUGAUGGCGCAAAUUCCCCACCCCGCCAACGGACACACCGGAGACACGAAUUGGCCCCUGGAUCGACCCAACUUUCACGUCCACCGAUAACAACCCCCAUGGAGGUAAGUGCAAAAUAGAUGUAUGGCAGAUUUACCGUAUCCCAGGAAGGUGGUGCUCCAAUUCCUGUGAUGUGGCGGUCCCAUGGUGCCUCUGGGUCGCCGACGAGCAAUCACAACGCUACUCCUACGAUCACCCCGAGGAAAGCAAUGGGAACCUUCCCACACAACACAGCCAAUCACCCGGACACGCAACCCGAGACACGACGCCGGCAUAAGGCCUUCCCUCUCCCCAGCCCGCGGCAAAUCUUGAUGUGCAGUAAUGACUACCGGUUCUUGGGUCCGGAAUGGUGGUUGAGGAAGAA
rnacentral:lncRNA from 1 species